AUAAAAUUUGCGGUGUUAAGAUAACCAAAAUAUCAGCAACGAUUAGAGCGAGUAAUAAAAUAAUUUUAUCAUCGUGAAUGUUGGAAGUUGAAAAGUUUUUUUUUUUCAAACGACCCUGAAAUCGUACGCACCUUAAAAUCCGGAACGACGUCGGUGUUCGGUUCGAAGAAUCUUCGAAGAAGAGACACAACGGCGAGGGCUGUGUUGAUUUUCACUAUAUAGGUUGCUGGGUAUUGUCACUAGAUGAUUUCAUUUAAUCUCGUCUUCUCUCCUUCCUUUCCUAUCCCUUCCCCGUUAAAUGAAAGUCUUUUUUUCUCACCAAGUCCUCUUCUAGAGGAAGGACAGGAUGGCAGCGGCAGCGACGACAGCCAUCGCUCGGUCGUUUCUGCGUCAGGGUUUUGUCGUUGUAAACACUCGCGCACGCGGUUUAAUACAGAGAUAUUCUUUAACUCCGGAGCACGGCACUUAACUAACGCAGAAAAUCCACACGUACUGCGCUAACACAACGACGAAUAACUCGCCCGCAGCACUCCUCGGCCCAGAAUGCCACUUCACAGUUCACACCACGGACUCACGUCGGAAAGGAGCCUUCGGCGUGUCGCUGUUUACCGAAGCAGGCCCGUCCACGAGUAAGAAACGAAAACAAUAAUAAAAUUGUUGUCGCCACGGUGGUGCGAGGGAACGAUAAAAUAUACCAAAGACGAGAGGAUCGUCUCCAGGGAAGCGUUGUACAGAGAUUGAUCGAAAGCAGAGAGGAGAGGAGACUGCCUGCAAUCGCAGAACUUUAUAAAUUUAUAUAUACGAAUGUGUAGGUAACUUGCGUCUGUAUUGAUACCGAUUUUUCUACGUGUAUGCAUCCGUUUGAGUGUGUCGGAGCACGUGCCUGUGUAUCGAGGAUAUCGAAGUUUUCGCCUUCGCCCGUCGUAGCGAGGACGUACGACGAGCAGCAGCAGCGGCGGUUAGGGCCUGCGGGACUCGUUCUUCCCGUGGGAUGGGAGUAGGACAAGCUACGGGGUAUAUUUGGGUGGAUUUAAAAUGUUCACACAAUUGGUUAGGAAAUUAUUACGACGAGAAAAUUAGGCAGGGGGGAGAGGACGGCGAAACUCUUUAUCUUGGGUUCUACGAGAUUGUACCACUAGUUAAUUUGGUGUAAAAAAUGGCGAAGAGACCAACGCCAGUCCCUCCCGAGUCCCGGAUGCGGGAUGACUGCUGACAACGCCGAUGGCCAAGCAGCGCAACCGGCCGCCAUAUGCAAUUCCAUCCCCUUCCAACUUACCUACGGGACGCUCGACGCCGUCGAUAGAAAAAAAAAUCAGAUAGGUUUUUCGUAUUUUUACCUGUCAUAAGCCCAUUUAUUUUAUUGUUGCACAUUAUCAGCUUACAACAAUCGAUUUACGUACAGUUUAUGAAAUGGAUUCACAAGGACGUCCGUGUGAUCUCUGCGAAGUUUUGUUCUUCAAUUGCCUUCUUUUUUUUCUUUUUUUCUUACUCAUUCCAUCC
rnacentral:misc_RNA from 1 species